AUGGAGCCCCGUGCUCUCGCUCUCAUCUCCGUCCUCUUCCUCUCUCUGCUUCGCACCGCCACGGCCACCACCGCUGGAACCGCAGACGGCACGGAGCGGUGGGGAUACGUGGAGGUUCGGCCCAAGGCUCACCUGUUCUGGUGGUACUACAAGAGCCCCCAGGCCCAGAGGGUGUCCACGCCCACCAAGCCAUGGCCGACCGUCCUCUGGCUGCAGGGUGGCCCGGGAGCGUCGGGCGUCGGGCUCGGCAACUUCCUGGAGGUCGGGCCGCUCAACGGCGACCUGAAGCCACGCAGCUCGACAUGGCUGCACAAGGCCGACCUCAUCUUCGUGGACAACCCAGUAGGCGUCGGGUACAGCUACGUGGAGGACGACAGCCUGCUGGUGACCACCGACCUGCAGGCGGCGGCGGACAUGACCACGCUGCUCAAGGCCCUCGUCAAGGAGCUGACGACCUUGCGGAGCAGCCCGCUGUUCAUCGUCGCCGAGUCGUACGGCGGCAAGUACGCCGCCACGCUCGGCGUCUCCGUCGUCCGGGCCGUCCGCGCCGGCGAGCUCAAGCUCACGCUCGGCGGCGUGGCGCUCGGAGACAGCUGGAUCUCGCCGGAGGAUUUCGCGUCUUCGUACGGGACGCUCUUGUUCCAGGUGUCGAGGCUGGAUCGCAACGGCGCAGACCACGCAAACAAGGACGCACAGGUGGUGAGGCAGCAGGUCGCAGCGGGGCAGUUCAAGCAAGCGCAGGCCACACUCAACCGAAUGCUCAACUGGGUCGUCGUCAACAGCGGCCACGUGGAUGUGUAUAACUUCCUACUGGACACCGGGAUGGACCCGGUCGUCGCGGUAAGCUCAUCGCCGGCGCCGGAGUACUCCAGGUACCUGGAGAGCAAGUCCGUAGGGGACUCGAUUCAGGAGGCCAUGAAUGGAGCCAUCAAGCGAAAGCUCAAGAUCGUCCCCAAAGACGUAGUAUGGCAGGCGCAAUCCUACAGCGUCUAUUAUGCGCUGAUCAACGAUUUCAUGAAGCCGAGGAUUCACGAGGUUGAUGAGCUCCUGUCGUAUGGUGUCAAUGUGACCGUGUACAAUGGGCAGCUCGAUGUGAUCUGCUCGACCGUCGGCGCAGAAGCAUGGGUUCAGAAGCUCAAAUGGGAUGGACUGAAGAACUUCUUGGCCCUGCCAAGACAGCCUCUCUACUGUGGCUCGGCUGGAGCCACCAAGGGCUUUGUUAGAUCCUACAAAAACCUUCAUUUCUACUGGAUCCUUGGAGCAGGGCACUUUGGUGCCUGUUGA
rnacentral:rRNA from 1 species